AAGAUACUGAAUUUUACGUCUAUAGGAUAUGCGGGUAGAAGUGUCCAGUAAGCAGUUCCUGUACAUACUUCUGAAUGUCGGCAAAGAGGUCUAAGCUAAAAUCAUUCAUUUGUAACUCAUCAACAUGUGCUCACUAUGAGUAACAAGUUAAGAAAAUGCGCUCACUUGGGGAAAGUAGGAAGAAAGCUUGAGGAGAUGAGCGAAGAAGGGCAGAUGAGUGAAGAAGGGUCAGAUAGAAGAUGCAGGCAGGAAGGAAGCUUGUCAGUGGUCGGAGGAGGACCAGGUGAGUGUGUCACUGAGGAGGCCAAGAAAGUUGAAAUUUUCAAGAUGAGAGAGAAUGGUCAAUGGCGGCCAGUGUCACAAAGAAUCCAAGUAAGGGAAGACCAGAAACAUGUCCACAGGAUUUGGCAGGUGAGCCUUGCCACAGCAAUUUCAGCUAAGUAAUGAGAACAGAAGCCUGGCUGAGAGAGAUUAAGAACGGACUUUACUGGAAGGUAAUUGAAAGCUUGGAAAGCAAAACCCUGGAUAAGAGGGACCUACUGCUCACAGUCUCUCCAGGGACCUUAUGUCAAAUCUGAGAGGGGAGAAGAAAUGUAUGAAGACAGAACCAUUUUAUGGAGCAUGGGGCUCUGCCAGGCGCAGCUAUAGAUGUUAUCACAUCCAUCUUCUCAGCCACCCUGUGAAGGAGUUAUCAGCAGGCCCAUGCAGACAAAGAAAUUGAGGAAGAUUCAGUGAUUCGCUCCAGGUCAGCAGCUGGUAAGUGUAGAGUCAGUACUAAAGCAGGGUCUGUGCAAUGAGACAGAAAUUUCAGAAGAGGAAAAGAAUCUGGAAACAGAAUCUCUGAAUCUCUGACCGUCUAAUGCUGCAGGUUUUGGAAGGCUGCCAACGUGCUCAAGGAGCCAUGGAGAAAAUAAGUGCUGUCCCUUCAAAGAAACGUCUUUCAGAACGGCCUUCUUUCUCUAGAAGACUGGAGGGAUUUUUCCCUCAGGUCAAUGACCAUCACAUAACUGAUCAUAUUUUCGUUUUUGUUUUGGCCCGUGGCAAGCAUAGAAUCAAAUUUACAGCUCAAUUUUAUUAACCUCAUAGGACACUCUAGUCUAAAUAUUUAUUCUAGCUUUUGACAUGGCCUUUCCUUU
rnacentral:lncRNA from 10 species